rnacentral:rRNA from 1 species
UUCGGGGACAAGGUGACAGGUGGUGCAUGGUUGUCGUCAGCUCGUGUCGUGAGAUGUUGGGUUAAGUCCCGCAACGAGCGCAACCCUUGUCGUUAGUUACUACCAUUAAGUUGAGGACUCUAGCGAGACUGCCUGGGUUAACCAGGAGGAAGGUGGGGAUGACGUCAAAUCAUCAUGCCCCUUAUGUGUAGGGCUACACACGUGCUACAAUGGCUGGUACAGAGAGAUGCAAUACCGCGAGGUGGAGCCAAACUUAAAAACCAGUCUCAGUUCGGAUUGUAGGCUGAAACUCGCCUACAUGAAGCUGGAGUUACUAGUAAUCGCGAAUCAGAAUGUCGCGGUGAAUACGUUCCCGGGUCUUGUACACACCGCCCGUCACACCAUGAGAGUUGGCAAUACCCGAAGUCCGUGAGCUAACCGCAAGGAGGCAGCGGCCGAAGGUAGGGUCAGCGAUUGGGGUGAAGUCGUAACAAGGUAGCCGUAGGAGAACCUGCGGCUGGAUCACCUCCUUU